CGUACUCCUACGGGGAGGCAGCAGUGGGGAAUAUUGCACAAUCGGGGGAAACCCUGAUGCAGCCAUGCCGCGUGUGUGAAGAAGGCCUUCGGGUGUAAAGCACUUUCAGUAGGGAGGAAGGUAGUGUAGUUAACACCUGCAUUAUUUGACGUUACCUACAGAAGAAGCACCGGCUAACUCCGUGCCAGCAGCCGCGGUAAUACGGAGGGUGCGAGCGUUAAUCGGAAUUACUGGGCGUAAAGCGCAUGCAGGCGGCCUGUUAAGUCAGAUGUGAAAGCCCGGGGCUUAACCUCGGAAUUGCAUUUGAAACUGGCAGGCUAGAGUCUUGUAGAGGGGGGUAGGAAUUUCAGGUGUAGCGGUGAAAUGCGUAGAGAUCUGAAGGAAUACCAGUGGCGAAGGCGGCCCCCUGGACAAAGACUGACGCUCAGAUGCGAAAGCGUGGGGAGCAAACAGGAUUAGAUACCCUGGUAG
rnacentral:rRNA from 1 species